UACAGGGGGGGCAAGCGUUGUUCGGAUUUACUGGGCGUAAAGGGCGCGUAGGCGGCGCGACAAGUCACUUGUGAAAUCUCCGGGCUUAACUCGGAACGGUCAAGUGAAACUGUCAUGCUAGAGUGCAGAAGGGGCAAUCGGAAUUCUUGGUGUAGCGGUGAAAUGCGUAGAUAUCAAGAGGAACACCUGAGGUGAAGACGGGUUGCUGGGCUGACACUGACGCUGAGGCGCGAAAGCCAGGGGAGCAAACGGG
rnacentral:rRNA from 1 species